UACGUAGGUGGCAAGCGUUGUCCGGAUUUAUUGGGCCUAAAGCAUCCGUAGCCGGUUCUACAAGUCUUCCGUUAAAUCCACCUGCUUAACAGAUGGGCUGCGGAGGAUACUAUAGAGCUAGGAGGCGGGAGAGGCAAGCGGUACUUAGUGGGUAGGGGUAAAAUCCGUUGAUCCAUUGAAGACCACCAGUGGCGAAGGCGGCUUGCCAGAACGCACUCGACGGUGAGGGAUGAAAGCUGGGGGAGCAAACCGG
rnacentral:rRNA from 1 species